rnacentral:rRNA from 1 species
UGGGGAAUUUUGGACAAUGGGGGCAACCCUGAUCCAGCAAUGCCGCGUGUGUGAAGAAGGCCUUCGGGUUGUAAAGCACUUUUGUCCGGAAAGAAAUCGCCCUGGCUAAUAUCCGGGGUGGAUGACGGUACUGGAAGAAUAAGCACCGGCUAACUACGUGCCAGCAGCCGCGGUAAUACGUAGGGUGCGAGCGUUAAUCGGAAUUACUGGGCGCAAAGCGUGCGCAGGCGGUUGUGCAAGACAGAUGUGAAAUCCCCGGGCUUAACCUGGGAAUGGCAUUUGUGACUGCACGGCUAGAGUGUGUCAGAGGGGGGUAGAAUUCCACGUGUAGCAGUGAAAUGCGUAGAUAUGUGGAGGAACACCGAUGGCGAAGGCAGCCCCCUGGGAUAACACUGACGCUCAUGCACGAAAGCGUGGGGAGCAAACAGGAUUAGAUACCCUGGUAGUCCACGCCCUAAAANGAUGUCAACUAGUUGUCGGGUCUUAAUUGACUUGGUAACGCAGCUAACGCGUGAAGUUGACCGCCUGGGGGAGUAC